GGCCCAGUAGCGCAAUCGAUAGCGCGUUGAACUUCUGAUACAAACGUCGUGGGUUCGAAUCCUACCUGAGAUGACCU
rnacentral:tRNA from 1 species